GAAUCGACGAAUCGUCGUCUCCAUCUUGUGAAUCGGCGGCGCCGCCCCUCCGAAACCAAACGUCGCGGCGCCCCUUCGUGUGCCGCCGCCGCCGAUCGUCGCCGCCUGGAGGCGGGCCGCCGGUUCGAUGAAGGCGAGCAAGAGGGCCGCGGACGUCGUGAUUGCCGGCUGCUGAUGGCGGUGACGCGUGUGCUGGCGAGGAUCCAUUGUUGUCGUUGUCGGCCGCCGGCCUCCGCCCGCGAUGCGAGCCUCCGGUCGAGGGGUGCGCGCCGGCGUUGCCGGCCGCUUACCGCCGAUGGUGCGGCCGUGGAGGAUCCGCUCGCGUUGAAGAAGGGGGUCACAUCUUUGAGGCGUCGCGGGAUGGGCGCUGCCGAGGGCGGCGCCGCCGUUGGUGGUGGAGGCGCUGGUCGCGAUAGCAGUGAGGCGGACGCCGGCGAGGCCGUCACCGAUGCCACUGUCAGAGGAGGUACGGGCGCCGAGGGCGUCGUCGCUGGUGGCUCCGCUGCUCUGCCGAUGGCAGAUUGGUGGGCGCCGCCGCCGAGGGCGGCUGUACAGGUUCGGAUGUGCCGUCGGCCGGCGUCGAAGAACGACGGUGCGUUCGUUCUUCUGUGUUCCUCGGAGUUGCAAAGAAAAUGUAAGUGAAUAGUCCAUUCUUACUCGUCGAAGUUUAGGCCUCUUGGCCUCUCUCCUGUCUUUUUUUCUUUUGCGUUGCAUGAAUUCCGGCGAGGUCUCCGGCGAGGAAUUCCGGCGACGAACUCCGGUGAAGUCUCCCUGCAGUGGCCUUCGCAGGGGUGUGAGGGCGACUUGUCCUCCAGCGUGUUCGUCUAGUUCUCUGGAAAUCGAAGUCGGCGAGUUUCUUGCUUUCGGCGAGAUGGCCGAUCUCUCCUGGCGUGUCUGUUCUCGUCGAGUUUCCUGUUGCUUUCUUCUUGCAUGAACUCGGAGAGUUCUGUUUCGUUCUCGGCGAGAUGGCCGAUCGCUCUAGUGGGAGCAAUGGCUGAUAACGUGUUAAGAAUGAAAGUGAAAGAGAGAAAGGAUUAAGGGAAUGAAUGAACUGUUGUGUAUUAA